GAGACAGCGAUGCAUAAGGAGGAAUUUCAUCUGAAAUUUUUCAUGUGUGUGAUUCAAUCUCGCGGGUUAGUCAGGACUCCUCAGAGCACAGGGAGAGAAGCUUCAACUUCCAGCAUGCUCAUACAAAAGCCACCACCUGAGAUAGACAACAUGAAGUAUCUACAUGCUACGGAUGGUCCAGACACUGUGGAAGGCAUACCUAUUUUGAAAACUGAGUGGAUCAUGACCCAUGAAGAGCACCAUGCAGCCAAAACCCUGGGGAUUGGCAAAGCCAUCGCCGUGUUAACCUCUGGUGGAGAUGCCCAAGGUAUGAAUGCUGCUGUCAGGGCUGUGGUUCGAGUUGGUAUCUUUACUGGUGCCCGUGUGUUCUUUGUCCAUGAGGGUUAUCAAGGCCUGGUGGAUGGUGGAGAUAACAUCAGGGAAGCCACCUGGGAGAGUGUGUCGAUGAUGCUUCAGCUGGGAGGCACAGUCAUUGGAAGUGCCCGGUGCAAGGACUUCCGUGAACGAGAGGGACGACUCCGCGCUGCCCACAACCUGGUGAAGCGUGGGAUUACUAAUCUGUGUGUCAUCGGAGGUGAUGGCAGCCUCACUGGGGCUGACACCUUCCGUUCUGAGUGGAGUGACUUACUGAGUGACCUCCAGAAAGCGGGUAAGAUCACAGCGGAGGAGGCUACGAAGUCCAGCUAUCUGAAUAUCGUGGGUUUGGUGGGCUCAAUUGACAAUGACUUUUGUGGCACUGAUAUGACCAUUGGCACUGAUUCCGCCCUGCACCGGAUCAUAGAGAUUGUGGACGCCAUCACCACCACUGCUCAGAGCCACCAGAGGACAUUUGUGCUAGAAGUGAUGGGCCGGCACUGUGGAUACCUGGCCCUCGUCACCUCUCUCUCCUGUGGGGCUGACUGGGUUUUUAUUCCUGAGUGUCCACCGGAUGACAACUGGGAGGAACAUCUUUGUCGCCGGCUCAGCGAGACAAGGACCCGUGGUUCUCGUCUCAACAUCAUCAUUGUGGCUGAGGGUGCCAUCGACAAGACUGGGAAACCCAUAAGCUCAGAAGACAUCAAGAAUCUGGUGGUGAAGCGUCUGGGAUAUGACACCCGGGUCACUGUCUUGGGGCAUGUGCAGCGGGGUGGGACACCAUCAGCCUUUGACCGGAUCCUGGGCAGCAGGAUGGGUGUGGAGGCAGUGAUGGCACUUUUGGAAGGGACUCCAGACACCCCAGCCUGUGUGGUGAGCCUCUCUGGGAACCAGGCUGUGCGCCUGCCCCUCAUGGAGUGUGUCCAAAUGACCAAAGAUGUGACCAAGGCCAUGAACGACAGGAAAUUUGAUGAAGCCUUGAAGCUGAGAGGCCGGAGCUUCAUGAACAACUGGGAAGUGUACAAGCUUCUGGCUCAUGUCAGACCCCCAGUCUCUAAGGGACCGAGUAGCAUACACACAGUGGCCGUGAUGAACGUGGGGGCCCCAGCCGCAGGCAUGAACGCUGCCGUCCGUUCCACCGUGAGGAUUGGCCUCAUCCAGGGCAACCGGGUGCUGGUUGUACAUGAUGGCUUCGAGGGCCUGGCCAAGGGUCAGAUCGAGGAAGCUGGCUGGAGCUAUGUUGGGGGCUGGACUGGCCAAGGUGGUUCCAAACUUGGGACUAAAAGGACUCUACCCAAGAAGAGCUUUGAGCAGAUCAGUGCCAACAUCACUAAGUUUAACAUUCAGGGCCUUGUCAUCAUUGGGGGCUUUGAGGCUUACACAGGGGGCCUGGAACUGAUGGAGGGCAGGAAGCUGUUUGAUGAGCUGUGCAUCCCGUUUGUGGUCAUCCCCGCGACGGUCUCCAACAACGUCCCCGGCUCGGACUUCAGCGUGGGGACUGACACAGCACUCAAUACUAUCUGCACGACCUGUGACCGCAUCAAGCAGUCAGCGGCAGGCACCAAGCGUCGGGUGUUUAUCAUCGAAACGAUGGGUGGCUACUGUGGCUACCUGGCCACCAUGGCAGGACUGGCAGCUGGGGCCGAUGCUGCCUACAUUUUUGAGGAGCCCUUCACCAUUCGGGACCUACAGGCAAAUGUUGAACAUCUGGUGCAUAAGAUGAAAACCACUGUGAAAAGGGGCUUGGUGUUAAGGAAUGAGAAGUGCAAUGAGAACUACACCACGGACUUCAUCUUCAACCUGUACUCUGAGGAGGGGAAGGGCAUAUUUGACAGCAGGAAGAAUGUGCUUGGGCACAUGCAGCAGACUUUUGCCAAAUGUCCCCUGGGGGGCAAAAUCAUCUCCAGUUGAGAACCACUAAUUCAGAUGAAGAAAAUGAGGCCCAGACGGGAGAAACAACUUUUUUAGGGCCGCUCAUCAAACUUGGGUGAGAGCCAGAAUGCACUCCAGUGCUCUUCCCAGCAUGCCACGCUGCCUUCCUGUGCAAGAAGUACAGCCACCUUGCUGGUGUUGGGCUCUGUCUGCACUAACCGGGGUUUCCGGGGGAAACGAAUUCCCUUCUGCUAUCCACAUUCAAUCCCCACCUACGGCAGGCCUCGCUCACAGACGGUACUGGUGGUCUUAGGCCUCCCCAUCCCAAAGCUGAUUCUGCUUAAGUAUGGACCUUUGACCGUUGUCUACCUACCUAUGAAUUCCCAGUAUCCUCAACUUGAAUGAGCUUAUUAGCCCCUGCAGGAAUGGGGUCUGACUGGAUAAAGCAUGGCGAUCUAUUCCCCACUUUCCCACCUCCUUUCACUUAGUUCAGAGAAAAUCUGCAUGAUGUUUUAUAUUAUUCUGAGGUGCUACCAAGGACAUCUAUGUUGGUUCACAAGGAACACUUUUGUCGAUGAUGGUGACUGACAAAAGCUGCUAGGCUGAAGAGGGGCAAGGAGGCGACUGGCCAAUCAGACUGGAAGUGAAUGAACAGGAUCUGGCAGCUGUGGAGCUAGAGGCGGCGGUUGUGAGACCAGGGUGGAAGCCCAACUCCGUUUGACAGAAAUUUUGCCACUAAGAUGGGUGCCAAGGCUAUGAACUGGAUGUCUGGGAAAAUCAAAGAGAGUUACCGUAAUGGGAGGAUCUUCGCCAAUA